rnacentral:rRNA from 1 species
AGGGUGUAAACGCUGCAGACUUGGUGUUGGGAACCCUUCGGGGGUGCUCAGUGCCGGAGAGAAGUUGUUAAGUCUGCUACUUGGGGAGUACGUCCGCAAGGAUGAAACUUAAAGGAAUUGGCGGGGGAGCACCGCAACGGGAGGAGCGUGCGGUUUAAUUGGAUUCAACGCCGAAAAACUCACCAGGGAAGACUGUUACAUGAAAGCCGAGAUGAAGACUCUGCUAGAUUUUUCAGAGAGGAGGUGCAUGGCGUCAGUGACU